rnacentral:lncRNA from 1 species
AACACAAAUUACCUGCUCUCCCAGAGAUCAGUCACAUGCAGAAAGCUCUGUCCAAUUCUUUGAAAAGGUGAGAUUUUUUUUUCUUUUUUUCUUUUUGCUGUUUUGAAGUUUGGUGGAAUUUAGAAAUUUUAAGGAGUAAAUUAGAAGCCUGAAUGAAAUGUUUUGAAAUAUACAUAUACAUGUAGAAAACAAAAGACACUGGUAUUUCUUUCGUUUUUAUCAACACAAAUUGAGAAGGAAGACUUUUUGUUUCCAAAAUGUGACUUAGAAAGAUAGAGGGUUCCAUGGCUUGUUGUUGUUAACAGAAAUAAUUUUUUUCAGGCCCAUCACCCCAGAUGCUGCCAAACUCCUAAGCCAGCAUUUCCAGCUACUGGCUGGCUGGUGUAACAGGCCAACUCUUAAUGAGAAUGUAUGGAAAGCCACUCCUGUGGAUUCCUACAAAGUACUUGGGGGGCGGGGGGGGGGGGGGGGGGGGUUGGAGACAAGUACUGUUCAUUCCUUGAGACCAGCACAAUUGUAGAUUAUCAACAUCCUGAGAAGGUUAUUAUAAGUUCUUAUGUAUAAUGUCUUUUUACAGAUAUUGUUAAACAUUCAUUUACAGAAGAAUUUUAAAUCUCUAUUGCAGUAACAGUGUAAGACUACCACUGUAAAAUUGUAUCUGUUUUGCAAAUAAAAAAAUAACAAAGCCAUUUACUAGUGUUACAGAAUAAAGCCAAAGAAAGGAAGACUGUACUAAGGUAAUUCCAGCAUAGAAUUCAUGUUGAACGCAUGCUGUGCAAGAUUCUAUGCUAUCCAGACAAGACCAUCCAUUGGAUCUUUUAGACUAGAAUACAGAUAAAGAAAAUGCAUUUUAGUUUGUACAGAACUUCCUGGCUUUCUAGAGACUAGGGUUCCUGUUAUCUUUGAUUCAAGACAUUAAGAUAUUAAUGACAUAUCUUCUAUAUUCUAGACCAUAGAGUAGGCGGUGAUGGCUACAAGAAUAAAUAAAAUCCCUGUCCUGUGAGGAACUCACAGCCUAAAGCUUUCAGUAAUAACAUCUAAUAUUUAUUGAAUGUUUACUAUGACCUAGGCAUUGAUAAAAAGCUUUAUGUCAAGUCAAUUCAUAGUUAGAACAGUCCUUUAACAUCACUGGAAAUUCCUGUGCUGAAUUCACAUGGAAUUAAAUGGAAAUCUACAAAGCAGCCAGUCUGGGGGGGGGGGGGAGGGUGUUUUCCAUUUUUAAAAUGUUUAUGCCAGAUAUGUGUAUGGUAUAUGUUGGGUUGCAGAAUUAUAACUCAGGAGAAUAGCAAUUUAUUUAAAUGUGACAAAUUUAUUCAUCGUCUGUAAAGAACAAUUCAUGUUCCAAUACCGUUUUCCAGAUUGGAUGGUGAGUUUUUAAAAAAUUAUUGGUAUUGCCAUACUAAAACGAUCUUUAGGUUCCUGCUGAUCUUAUUCUGCAUUUUAACUGCCUUAAAUUCUACAUUCACUUGAAAGAGGGGGCCAAAGUCAGACUGACAACAAGUUUUGCAGACAAAAGGAAAUCCUGGUUGUAAAUCCCAUGAUAUAUUGUACUCAAUUUUGUAUAUAAUACUGUCUAAUGUGCCACCUUAUUAAAGAACUCCAUAUCCAUUUGGCUUACAUUAGGGGGAAACUUAACUGCAGCUUAACAUAUUGUUCAUUUUCAACACUGUCACGUUACAUUCAUAGGGAGCACAUUUUAAUUUCUUUAUCUGUAAUCAACUGGAAGUUUCUUUUUGUUAAAUUAAAGCAAGAAGGGCUUUUAAAUAAAGGGCAUGGGGGUAGGACGCCACCUUUUGGUGGUAAAACAAAUAGAAAUCCCCUUUUCAACAGAUGUUCCUGACAUAAUUGUAUUUUAAUUACACCAAUGCAAAGGUGCUUGUCCCCGUUUGAUUCUGUUUGAAGUAACAGGAAAAAAAAAAAAAAACUGUGAAAGGAAAAUUGGGAAACUAUCCUGAACUGCAACCAAAAGUUCUUCAAAGGUAUCAGAACAUGUUAGGGCCCUGUCACAUACAAUUGCCUAUACAUCAGACACCAACUUUGUUCUGCAAGUACUUUGUUGAUAAAUGUACGCACAUUUGGGGUAACAGAAACUGGGGUGGACAUUUACCACUUAACAAGAUACCUGAAUGCUUUUAUAAGUUUAGAGUUAACCGGAAACUUUAUAUUCACCUAAUUCAGUGUUUCUUUUUAGUUACCACCUUCCUAAUAUUUUGCCAUAUCUACAUAACGUGAUAGUUACUGAAUAAUUUAUGUAGUAUACUCAUUGGACUACAGCUAAUAUGGCAAGUGUAUUAAAUAUCUCCUUUACAUCAACCUACUUUUUCUAUUACUACUUUAAAUGGGAAAUCACUAUUGCACUCCGUGAAUUAAAAACAAACACGAUGAAAACAAAGUCGUGGAUUCCUUUGUUAGAAAGGGAGAGUGGCAAAAAAAAAAAAUUACAAAUUA